UAAAUCCCAACAAAAAAAAAAAAGGAAAAAAAAAAAAAAGAAGUGGCCUAGUGGACAAAAUCAACAUAGAGUUUCAAACAUAACGUUUUUUCAAGCAUCAUUCAUCUUCGUUUCCUUUCCCGUCCACACACACAAGAUAUGCA
rnacentral:ribozyme from 1 species